UACGUAGGGUGCAAGCGUUGUCCGGAAUUAUUGGGCGUAAAGAGCUCGUAGGCGGUCUGUCGCGUCUGCUGUGAAAACUCAGGGCUUAACCCUGAGCUUGCAGUGGGUACGGGCAGACUAGAGUGCGGUAGGGGAGACUGGAAUUCCUGGUGUAGCGGUGAAAUGCGCAGAUAUCGGGAGGAACACCAGUGGCGAAGGCGGCUAUCUGGGCUGAAACUGACGCUGAGGCGCGAAGGCUAGGGUAGCAAACAGG
rnacentral:rRNA from 1 species